rnacentral:rRNA from 1 species
GACGAACGCUGGCGGCGUGCUUAACACAUGCAAGUCGAACGGAAAGGCCCUGCUUUUGUGGGGUGCUCGAGUGGCGAACGGGUGAGUAACACGUGAGUAACCUGCCCUUGACUUUGGGAUAACUUCAGGAAACUGGGGCUAAUACCGGAUAGGAGCUCCUGCUGCGUGGUGGGGGUUGGAAAGUUUCGGCGGUUGGGGAUGGACUCGCGGCUUAUCAGCUUGUUGGUGGGGUAGUGGCUUACCAAGGCUUUGACGGGUAGCCGGCCUGAGAGGGUGACCGGCCACAUUGGGACUGAGAUACGGCCCAGACUCCUACGGGAGGCAGCAGUGGGGAAUAUUGCACAAUGGGUGGAAGCCUGAUGCAGCAACGCCGCGUGCGGGAUGACGGCCUUCGGGUUGUAAACCGCUUUCGCCUGUGACGAAGCGUGAGUGACGGUAAUGGGUAAAGAAGCACCGGCUAACUACGUG